ACGCUGGCGGCAGGCCUAAUACAUGCAAGUCGAACGGUCCUUCGGGACAGUGGCGGACGGGUGAGUAACACGUGGGAACGUGCCUUUAGGUUCGGAACAACCAAGGGAAACUUUGGCUAAUACCGGAUAAGCCCUUCGGGGGAAAGAUUUAUCGCCUUUAGAGCGGCCCGCGUCUGAUUAGCUAGUUGGUGGGGUAAUGGCCCACCAAGGCGACGAUCAGUAGCUGGUCUGAGAGGAUGAUCAGCCACACUGGGACUGAGACACGGCCCAGACUCCUACGGGAGGCAGCAGUGGGGAAUCUUGCGCAAUGGGCGAAAGCCUGACGCAGCCAUGCCGCGUGGAUGAUGAAGGUCUUAGGAUUGUAAAAUCCUUUCAGCGGGGACGAUAAUGACGGUACCCGCAGAAGAAGCCCCGGCUAACUUCGUGCCAGCAGCCGCGGUAAUACGAAGGGGGCUAGCGUUGCUCGGAUUUACUGGGCGUAAAGGGCGCGUAGGCGGAUGUUUAAGUCGGGGGUGAAAGCCCGGGGCUCAACCUCGGAAUUGCCUUCGAUACUGGACAUCUUGAGUACGGGAGAGGUGAGUGGAACUCCGAGUGUAGAGGUGAAAUUCGUAGAUAUUCGGAAGAACACCAGUGGCGAAGGCGACUCACUGGCCCGUUACUGACGCUGAGGGCGCGAAAGCGUGGGGAGCAAACAGGAUUAGAUACCCUGGUAGUCCACGCUGUAAACGAUGAGUGCUAGUUGUC
rnacentral:rRNA from 1 species